UUUGUACUCCCUCCGUUCGGAAUUACUUGUCGUAGAAAUGGAUGUAUCUAGACAUUUUUUAGUUAUAGAUACAUCCAUUUCUGCGACAAGUAAUUCGGAACGGAGGGAGUAUUAU
rfam:Triticum aestivum genome assembly, contig: Triticum_aestivum_CS42_TGACv1_scaffold_049395_1BS